UACGUAGGGACCGAGCGUUGUCCGGAAUCAUUGGGCGUAAAGAGCGUGUAGGCGGCCACUUAAGUCCUGCGUGAAAUCUUGCGGCUCAACCGCAAGCGGUCGUGGGAAACUGGGUGGCUAGAGUGCGGGAGAGGAGAGUGGAAUUCCUGGUGUAGCGGUGGAAUGCGCAGAUAUCAGGAGGAACACCGGUGGUGUAGACGGCUAUCUGGACCGUAACUGACGCUGAGGCACGAAAGCGUGGGUAGCAAACAGG
rnacentral:rRNA from 1 species